CCACCGCUGCACAUCACCAGCAGCUAGCUGGGACUAGGCAGACGGCAGCGGCUUCCAUCACCGGCAGACCGACACCUCGUGCGCGCGUCAACUGCAGGUGCGCAGAACAUCCUCCAUCCCUGCAUCCGAUCAGGGGAU